rnacentral:lncRNA from 1 species
UCCAGCCAUUCUCCACACCCAGGAGCAAGAAACCCUAGGGUUUCUUGCCGCCAGGUCCAUAAAAGGAAAGAAAAGCAAGGAGGCGCUAGCCCCUUCACCCUUGCAGCCGUCGACUCUCUCUCUUCUCCCUCUCUUGCAACCACCCAAACAUCAGGUCCAAAACCUGGAAUCUCUUGAGAAGAGGUUGAUACAAGUUUCUCUUAGAUUUGGAGUUGAUCUGAGGUCGUUUGAGGCACGGGUGAGAUCUCCAUCAACAGAUCUACAGGAAAGGCUGUAGCAGGAUAGAUCUGCAAGGUCUGUCUCCA